GAUGAACGCUGGCGGCGUGCCUAGUACAUGCAAGUCGAGCGAACAGACGAGGAGCUUGCUCCUCUGACGUUAGCGGCGGACGGGUGAGUAACACGUGGAUAACCUACCUAUAAGACUGGGAUAACUUCGGGAAACCGGAGCUAAUACCGGAUAAUAUAUUGAACCGCAUGGUUCAAUAGUGAAAGACGGUUUUGCUGUCACUUAUAGAUGGAUCCGCGCCGCAUUAGCUAGUUGGUAAGGUAACGGCUUACCAAGGCAACGAUGCGUAGCCGACCUGAGAGGGUGAACGGCCACACUGGAACUGAGACACGGUCCAGACUCCUACGGGAGGCAGCAGUAGGGAAUCUUCCGCAAUGGGCGAAAGCCUGACGGAGCAACGCCGCGUGAGUGAUGAAGGUCUGCGGAUCGUAAAACUCUGUUAUUAGGGAAGAACAAAUGUGUAAGUAACUAUGCACGUCUUGACGGUACCUAAUCAGAAAGCCACGGCUAACUACGUG
rnacentral:rRNA from 1 species